UACUGAAUUAUCCAACGUUGUACUUGC
rnacentral:sRNA from 1 species